UUUUCGGAUCGUAAAGCUCUGUUGUUAGGGAAGAACAAGUACCGUUCGAAUAGGGCGGUACCUUGACGGUACCUAACCAGAAAGCCACGGCUAACUACGUGCCAGCAGCCGCGGUAAUACGUAGGUGGCAAGCGUUGUCCGGAAUUAUUGGGCGUAAAGGGCUCGCAGGCGGUUUCUUAAGUCUGAUGUGAAAGCCCCCGGCUCAACCGGGGAGGGUCAUUGGAAACUGGGGAACUUGAGUGCAGAAGAGGAGAGUGGAAUUCCACGUGUAGCGGUGAAAUGCGUAGAGAUGUGGAGGAACACCAGUGGCGAAGGCGACUCUCUGGUCUGUAACUGACGCUGAGGAGCGAAAGCGUGGGGAGCGAACAGGAUUAGAUACCCUGGUAGUCCACGCCGUAAACGAUGAGUGCUAAGUGUUAGGGGGUUUCCGCCCCUUAGUGCUGCAGCUAACGCAUUAAGCACUCCCGCCUGGGGAGU
rnacentral:rRNA from 1 species